rnacentral:rRNA from 1 species
UACAGAGGUCUCAAGCGUUGUUCGGAUUCAUUGGGCGUAAAGGGUGCGUAGGCGGCGCGGUAAGUCGGGUGUGAAAUCUCGGAGCUUAACUCCGAAACUGCAUUCGAUACUGCCGUGCUUGAGGACUGGAGAGGAGACUGGAAUUUACGGUGUAGCGGUGAAAUGCGUAGAUAUCGUAAGGAAGACCAGUGGCGAAGGCGGGUCUCUGGACAGUUCCUGACGCUGAGGCACGAAGGUCAGGGGGAGCAAAACGGGGAUUAGAAAACCCC